CCAUGGAAGAAGAGAGAAAAUUUUCUCUUUUCUUUUCUUUGCCACAUCCCAACCUUGAGUUCUUGCUAAAAUCACUUGGAAAAUUAUCUCCUAAACUCAUUUCCACCAUCAAUCUCUCCAUUUUAAACCUAGGUUUUGGAUGUGUUUAGUAAGAGAAGUUGAAGCUAGAGAGAGAAAGCUUCACUAAGAAAUGGGAUUUCAAGUUAGGAUGAGGACGGGUUCAAGUGAUUGGAGGAUUGGUUUUGAUUAUAAGUGCAUUUAAGAGGUAAAUACCCUUGGAGACUCUUACUUCUCCUAUACUAAUAUGUUUAGGAAAAUGAUAAAAUUGUGUGUUAAAUAUGAAACUGAUUAUGAAAUAGAUAUGUGUAAGUUCCAUAGCUUAAAGUAUUAGAAAUAAAUGGCUUGAAAAAUUGUGGCUUA